rnacentral:lncRNA from 1 species
CGCUUUUUGAGAAGGAACCCCUGAGAGGUGAAUCUCCCAGUAAAGUGGGGUGUUCCUUCUGAUGGUAGGUCAGAUGCAAAGAGGUCUCAGGAGAAGGGCAUGUUGCUUGCCUGCUUGCUUGCCUUCACCUCCUGGUGGCCCUGCACCUGCCUUUGCUCACAUCUUUCAUUGCCAAGUUGGACUGAAGACAAGAACUCUGCAGGGAUCCUACACUCUGGGCCAAUCAGUUACAGGGUCUGCAGAUCUCCAUCAUGCAGGCAGCCAUUGUUUGACUACCUAUCCUGUAUCACAUGAGCUAACUUAAUAAACUCCUGUUAGUCACACACACUCUUUUUAUUGGUUCAGUUCUUUUGAAGACCCCUAAUUAAUAUAACAUGUUCAAGUAAAUAUUUCCAAAGCCAUGUUCUGUGCACUUCUGA